GAACACAAAAUGGCGACACGUGGUUAGCAUUCGUCGCCAACGAGAAAUUGGGGUCGGCCCGAAAGCUCUAGAAUGCACCCCUCUUCCUCCCCGGGGCCUUCCACCUCCGCGAGUUUUAUGACUUAAAAAAGCCCACAGGCUGGUCUGAAGAGGAAGACAAACAUAAAGAUGAAGUGCUUAAUUCAAGGUCACACAAUGUCGGGGAUGGACCUCCAGAUUUCCUUACUGAGACGGAGUCUUGCUAUGUUGCCCAGGCUGGUCUUGAACUCCUCACCUCAAGCGAUCCUCCCGUCUUGGCCUCCCAAGUGUCAGGAUUACGGGCAUGUGCUAUCACACCCAACCUGAUACAUUGCCUUUAUAAAUUUUUUUUUCUUUAUUCUAAAAACCAGAAAAAACAAAACUGGAUACAUGUGCAGAACAUGCAGACCAAGUGUGUUGGGGACUUGAGAUGCGUACAUGAGUGUGAUGUUUCCUGCUGAAAGCACAGGUGAGACGUGGUCUUGUAACACAGUGGUUAAGAAUGUGACUUUGGAGCCAGCCUGCUAGGGGCUGAAUUCUGACUCAGCCAUUUACUAACUGUGUG
rnacentral:lncRNA from 1 species